rnacentral:rRNA from 1 species
AUGUUGAGUCCAUGGAUUAUACACACCCUCACCCUUCCAUCAUUGCUAGCCUCUCUAGUACCGCGCAACUUUCACCGGUACCAUAAACCCACCAUAUACCUUCCUCAAAACAGCCACCAUACCUACCUAUUAUGGCAUUUCCAUAGCCAUUCCGAGAUAUAUUGCCAUGCAACUUUCCACCGUUCCUUUUGUUAUGACAUACUUCAUCAUUGUCAUAUUGCCAUGCAUGAUCAUGUAGUUGACAUCGUAUUUGUGGCAAAGCCACCGUUCAUAAUUUUUUCAUACAUGUCACUCUUGAUUCAUUGCAUCCCGGUACACCGCCGGAGGCAUUCACAUAGAUUCAUAUUUUGUUCUAAGUAUUGA